rnacentral:rRNA from 1 species
GAGAGCUUGCUCUCGGGUGACGAGUGGCGGACGGGUGAGUAAUGUCUGGGAAACUGCCUGAUGGAGGGGGAUAACUACUGGAAACGGUAGCUAAUACCGCAUAACGUCGCAAGACCAAAGAGGGGGACCUUCGGGCCUCUUGCCAUCAGAUGUGCCCAGAUGGGAUUAGCUAGUAGGCGGGGUAAUGGCCCACCUAGGCGACGAUCCCUAGCUGGUCUGAGAGGAUGACCAGCCACACUGGAACUGAGACACGGUCCAGACUCCUACGGGAGGCAGCAGUGGGGAAUAUUGCACAAUGGGCGCAAGCCUGAUGCAGCCAUGCCGCGUGUGUGAAGAAGGCCUUCGGGUUGUAAAGCACUUUCAGCGGGGAGGAAGGCGGUACGGUUAAUAACCGUGCUGAUUGACGUUACCCGCAGAAGAAGCACCGGCUAACUCCGUGCCAGCAGCCGCGGUAAUACGGAGGGUGCAAGCGUUAAUCGGAAUUACUGGGCGUAAAGCGCACGCAGGCGGUCUGUCAAGUCGGAUGUGAAAUCCCCGGGCUCAACCUGGGAACUGCAUUCGAAACUGGCAGGCUGGAGUCUCGUAGAGGGAGGUAGAAUUCCAGGUGUAGCGGUGAAAUGCGUAGAGAUCUGGAGGAAUACCGGUGGCGAAGGCGGCCUCCUGGACGAAGACUGACGCUCAGGUGC